CCAGCUGGGGCCAAUUAUGUCCCAAAGAGGCUUGGUGUGUGACCAGCCUGUGUUUGCUGAGGGAGGGAAGAAGGCAGUGCCUUUGGAGAAGGCUCAUGAAAGGAUUCAAAUCUACUGAGCAGUAGGAUCGAGCAAGUAGCAGAGGGAGAAGUAGGAUGUGAUUACUGGAGUGGCCUAGUUUUUGCUUCUCUGGAGGGAGACUGGCUGGAGCAAGCCAUCUUCUUUUUAUUCCUUUGUUUUGUCUGGAUUGGGGUGCAGAAACUUCUCAUUUGUGGAACUCUUUUAGAACCCAGAAGGGGAGGACGUUUUCUGCUUUGACUUGAGGGACAAGCUAUCCUAUCUGCUGGAGAGACACUGAGGCAGCAACUGCACCAUUCAGAAAGAGUGAAACUGAAGCCUUGCCAUAGGUAAAAUGGCUGCCGCUGUCAUUUGGGAAGGCCAGACAGGACACUACUGGGACACAGACUGAGAGGAGCAGCAGAGACACUGCAAGAGAUGCAUCAGAUAGCUGAGCAGGAGCCUGAACAGGCAUCAAGAGAUGCUGGUGAGGAACAAAUGCCUCCAGCUUCAUGAUAGAUGAUAAAUUGCAUUCUGCCAAAAUGAGUGGGUUGGUCUUCAGUGAUUAUAUCAACUGGUGCUAUUCUUCUACCCUCUUCAAAUUAUUACCGUGGUGCAACCUGCUUUUUCUGAGUAGGCAUCAGAAAAUCUUUAUUGUUACAUUGCCAAGCCUAAACUAUGGAUAAUGAGGAUAAAACUGUUAACAUAAAAGCUCUGGUACAUAGUAAAAUAAAGGAAUAAUGGUGGUGUGACUCCCAAAUUCCUUUUAAAAAACAAACCACUCUUUAUUUUGGAAUCAUUAAGGAGAGUACUGCUCUAUAUUAUAAAGACAUAAAAGAAAUUAGUGGAUGAUACAAUGCUGCGAGGAGCCGUGAUACAGGGUAAUCCUCUGCAGAGGAAAACAUGAUUUCAGUAUCUUUAUGGCUCCUAGAGCUAUUGUUCUCACUGCAUAGAGGUGUCUUGCAUUGGAGCUGUAAUGUAAGGACUCUGAGCCUAACUAUCAGCUGCCUUGUAUAGAUAUGUAGGACCUCACAAGGAGUGAGGCAGUAGAAAAUCUGAUCAGGGCUGGAUCUUGGCUAUUUUUUUUAAGAUGGGUUUCUCAUCCUUGGCAUUGCAAAGAAAAGCUUGAAAAUAUGACCAGAAUGUAAUUGAUGUGGAGAGCUGCCUGAGUCUGUAGAGAGCCUGAAAUGCUAGCGCCGAGAGGGGUGAACUGCCUUAUGCAUCUUGACAGUCCAUUUCCUCCAACCACCUCAGCUGAGGUUUAUGUGCGUGGCAGGAGGAGAGUACAGCAGCCCUUCCCAAAACAGAAACACCCCCGUUGCUGUUACCACCUGCUGCCUCCUGGAAGGAGAAUGGGGAGAAAGAAUGGCAU